CAGCGAUUGAAAGAUGAGCUUGAUUUGUAUAUUAAAGAUGCAAACUAUGAUGAGAGGUCGUAUUACAAGAAUAUGUACUACCAUCUCACUAAUUAGUAUGCGGUAUUGUUUGACAAGUAUGGCAAGGUCAAAUAGGAGUUUGGUAUGCUGAAGGAAUGCUUCAACUCUAUUAUUGUCCAGAAGGAUGAAUUUGUAAUCGAACAUAUUAAAAUACGUGCUGCAAUCAAGGAAUGCCACUGUAUUAUCAAUCGCAUCGGUGCAGGGCCAAGCAAUGU
rnacentral:lncRNA from 1 species